AACGAAGGUCCUCAAAAUGCUUUCCAAACUACAAGAUGAUGCACCUCAGCAGUCAACAAGCAGCAGAGGUCACUCAAACUUUGAAGACUUUGACUUUUUGGCAAAAUAUUGCAUUUUUAAUCAUGAGAGGCUGGCUGAGUACAAAAGAGCAUUUGAAGAAGAGGACAGUGAUGGGGAUGGAUAUAUUUCCUGUCUUCAAGUUCUGUGUGCAUUGAAAAACAUUAUCC